GACGAACGCUGGCGGCGUGCUUAACACAUGCAAGUCGAACGGAAAGGCCCUGCUUUUGUGGGGUGCUCGAGUGGCGAACGGGUGAGUAACACGUGAGUAACCUGCCCUUGACUUUGGGAUAACUUCAGGAAACUGGGUCUAAUACCGGAUAGGAGCUCCUGCUGCAUGGUGGGGGUUGGAAAGUUUCGGCGGUUGGGGAUGGACUCGCGGCUUAUCAGCUUGUUGGUGGGGUAGUGGCUUACCAAGGCUUUGACGGGUAGCCGGCCUGAGGGGGGGACCGGCCACAUUGGGACUGAGAUACGGCCCGAACUCCUACGGGAGGAAGCAGUGGGGAAUAUUGCACAAUGGGCGGAAGCCUGAGGAAGCAACGCCGCGUGCGGGAUAACGGCCUUCGGGUUGUAAACCGCUUUCGCCUGUGACGAAGCGUGAGUGACGGUAAUGGGUAAAGAAGCACCGGCUAACUACGUG
rnacentral:rRNA from 1 species